rnacentral:rRNA from 1 species
UCGGGAAUUUUGGGCAAUGGGCGAAAGCCUGACCCAGCAACGCCGCGUGAAGGAUGAAGUAUUUCGGUAUGUAAACUUCGAAAGAAUAGGAAGAAUAAAUGACGGUACUAUUUAUAAGGUCCGGCUAACUACGUGCCAGCAGCCGCGGUAAUACGAAGGGGGCUAGCGUUGUUCGGAUUUACUGGGCGUAAAGCGCGUGUAGGCGGGCUGGAAAGUUGGGGGUGAAAUCCCGAGGCUCAACCUCGGAACUGCCUCCAAAACUUCCAGCCUGGACUCAAGUAGAGGCAAGUGGAAUUGCGAGUGUAGAGGUGAAAUUCGUAGAUAUUCGCAGGAACACCAGUGGCGAAGGCGACUUGCUGGACUUGUAGUGACGCUGAGACGCGAAAGCGUGGGGAGCAAACAGGAUUAGAUACCCCCGUAGUCCCUGAGCGGGCUGGCAAGGCGCAU